rnacentral:rRNA from 1 species
CUACGGGCGGCUCCAGUGGGGAAUAUUGGACAAUGGGCGCAAGCCUGAUCCAGCAAUGCCGCGUAUGUGAAGAAGGCCUGCGGGUUGUAAAGCACUUUCGGUUGGGAGGACUGCUUCUAGCACUAAUAUUGUUGGAAGUUGACGUUACCUUCAGAAGAAGCACCGGCUAACUCCGUGCCAGCAGCCGCGGUAAUACGGAGGGUGCAGGCGUUAAUCGGAAUUACUGGGCGUAAAGCGCGCGUAGGCGGCUAGAUCAGUCGGGUGUGAAAGCCCCGGGCUUAACCUGGGAACUGCAUCCGAUACUGUCUAGCUUGAGUACAGGAGAGGAGAGUGGAAUUCCACAUGUAGCGGUGAAGUGCGUAGAUAUGUGGAGGAACACCAAUGGCGAAGGCAGCUCUCUGGCCUGAUACUGACGCUGAGGUGCGAAAGCGUGGGGAGCAAACAGGAUUAGAUACCCCCGUAGUC